rnacentral:miRNA from 1 species
CCUGGUACGGGGCCGUGGGAGAG